GGGGACUCCUGAAAGGUUGUGGGUGAAUAUCAGCUAAUGCUUUUUAAACAUUCAGAGAUCCAGCUUCAAUUAAGUAAGGCCACUGACGGGAAAGACGAUGUCAGCGGAUAUUGCUCAAAGCUUGUGGAGCAUCACUCAUUCAUCAGUCUGGACGUAUUCCUGAACCCACCCUAAAAUUACAGCUGAUCAGUAUAUAAACUGCAGCGACCCAGAAGCAGAGACACUGUGGAAUAUGUGGACUGAAUGAAAGCGUUCAAGGAUGUGGAAGUUGAGGACGACACUGCUCCUGAUGCUGCUUUCAUUUGUUUUCACCAAACCUCUUCAUCCCAGGUACGGAAAUAGACAUCUGACAAUAAACAGUAGGUUUCAUGACUCCAAAUCCAUGGAAUCGAAUGAAUCAAGCAACUCAUCUUCUGAAUCUGAGAUGUCUACAUCCAGUGAAUCUGGUACUUCUUCAACUAGCGACUCCAGUGAGUCUUCAUCGUCUGAGGAGGAUUUGAUCACCACUGCUGAACCUGAGCCUACCAGGCGUACAACUGUUCUACCACCGUUGGUCACGUGUUUUACAGUGCAUCAGCAAACUGAGCCUAGAGGAGAUAUUUAGUUGCUGUACCUUAAAGCUUAAGAAAAGACACAUAAGUAUUGAUUUUAGUCAUUUGCUGGUCUGAUCAAAUCUUUUUCUAUAUUCGAGACACUUAAAUUUUUAUUUGAUUUGAUUCAUUUGAUUUCAUUGUUAUUGCGCUGUAAUGAAUGACAUUAACAUUGUUAUAGCAAAGGUAACGUUCUGUAUUCAAAUAUAUGCAAUGCAUUUUUAAUGUCAUGUUACAAUAAAUAACGUUAUAAAACCACGGCAUG